UUCGACAACGGAUCUCUUGGUUCUCCCAUCGAUGAAGAACGCAGCGAAACGCGAUAGUUAAUGUGAAUUGCAGAAUUCAGUGAAUCAUCGAGUCUUUGAACGCAUCUUGCGCUCCUUGGUAUUCCGAGGAGCAUGCCUGUUUGAGUGCCAUG
rnacentral:rRNA from 1 species